rnacentral:rRNA from 1 species
UACGUAGGUGGCAAGCGUUGUCCGGAUUUACUGGGCGUAAAGAGCGCGCAGGCGGUCGUUCAAGUCGAGUGUGAAAGCCCCCGGCUCAACUGGGGAGGGUCACUCGAUACUGAUCGACUCGAAGGCAGAAGAGGGAAGCGGAAUUCCCGGUGUAGUGGUGAAAUGCGUAGAUAUCGGGAGGAACACCAGUGGCGAAGGCGGCUCACUGGACCGGUAUUGACGCUGAGGUGCGAAAGCGUGGGGAGCAAACAGG